GAUGAACGCUGGCGGCGUGCCUAAUACAUGCAAGUCGAACGGUAGCAGGCCUUCGGGCGCUGACGAGUGGCGGACGGGUGAGUAACGCGUAGGAAUCUGCCUGGUAGUGGGGGACAACUUAGGGAAACUUAAGCUAAUACCGCAUACGCUCCUUGUUGCAAGAUGGGGACGGAAAGCGGGGGAUCUUCGGACCUCGCGCUAUCAGAUGAGCCUGCGUUAGAUUAGCUAGUUGGUGGGGUAAAGGCCUACCAAGGCGACGAUCUAUAGCUGGUCUGAGAGGACGAUCAGCCACACUGGGACUGAGACACGGCCCAGACUCCUACGGAGGCUG
rnacentral:rRNA from 1 species